rnacentral:rRNA from 1 species
GACGAACGCUGGCGGCGUGCUUAACACAUGCAAGUCGAACGGAAAGGCCCUUCGGGGUACUCGAGUGGCGAACGGGUGCGUAACACGUGGGUGAUCUUCCCUUCACUUUGGGAUAAGCCUGGCUACCUGGGUCUAAUACCGAAUAUGAUCAUCGGCUUCUUGUUCGUUGGUGGAAAGCUUUUGCGGUGUGGGAUGGGCCCGCGGCCUAUCAGCUUGUUGGUGGGGUAAUGGCCUACCAAGGCGACGACGGGUAGCCGGCCUGAGAGGGUGACCGGCCACACUGGGACUGAGAUACGGCCCAGACUCCUACGGGAGGCAGCAGUGGGGAAUAUUGCACAAUGGGCGGAAGCCUGAUGCAGCGACGCCGCGUGAGGGAUGACGGCCUUCGGGUUGUAAACCGCUUUCAGCACAGACGAAGCGCAAGUGACGGUAUGUGCAGAAGAAGGACCGGCCAACUACGUG